UGGGGAAUAUUGCGCAAUGGGGGGAACCCUGACGCAGCCAUGCCGCGUGAAUGAAGAAGGCCUUAGGGUUGUAAAGUUCUUUCGGUAUUGAGGAAGGUUGAUGUGUUAAUAGCACAUCAAAUUGACGUUAAAUACAGAAGAAGCACCGGCUAACUCCGUGCCAGCAGCCGCGGUAAUACGGAGGGUGCGAGCGUUAAUCGGAAUAACUGGGCGUAAAGGGCACGCAGGCGGUUAUUUAAGUGAGGUGUGAAAGCCCUGGGCUUAACCUAGGAAUUGCAUUUCAGACUGGGUAACUAGAGUACUUUAGGGAGGGGUAGAAUUCCACGUGUAGCGGUGAAAUGCGUAGAGAUGUGGAGGAAUAUCGAAGGCGAAGGCAGCCCCUUGGGAAUGUACUGACGCUCAUGUGCGAAAGCGUGGGGAGCAAACAGGAUUAGAUACCCUGGUAGUCCACGCUGUAAACGCUGUCGAUUUGGGGGUUGGGGUUUAACUCUGGCGCCCGUAGCUAACGUGAUAAAUCGACCGCCUGGGGAGUACGGCCGCAAGGUUA
rnacentral:rRNA from 1 species